ensembl:lncRNA
AUGGCGCCGAGCAUGGCGGCCGUGUUGGGAGCUCCGAGUAAACUUUGCAGUUUUUCGUCUGUUUUACUUGUUUUUUUGUUGUUCUACGUGUUGGAUGUUGUUUGUAUAACUGUCUACGAUAGACACACGCUUCUGAACAUUGGUUCCUACGUCACGGAACGCAAACCGGACUUUGAGUUCUUGAACGCCGGCGCUUUGUUUACAGACACCGCAUCAGAGCCCUUUGUCUGGGCUGCGCGGGCGCGACCGAGGAAACGCCGCCGGAAAAGAGGAAAGAGAGCCGGCGUCCUCGUCAGACUCAGACGUCGUCCCCUCCGACCUCCUCUCCCAUCCAUUUUGCUGGCUAACGUUCAGUCACUGGACAACAAACUUUGCGAACUGCGGGCACGUAUCUCAUACCAACGAGAAACAAGGGACUGCUGCAUUAUUUGCCUCACAGAAACCUGGAUGUCUGCAGUGGUUCCAGACUCAGCCAUCGAGCUUACGGGGUUCUCCGUGCACCGCUCGGACAGAACGAAAGAGCUCACAGGGAAAAGCAGAGGUGGGGGCGUUUGUUUCUUUAUCAACAACUCGUGGUGUGAUGAAAGGAACCUACACUCUAUUAAAUCCUUCUGCUCCCCUGAUCUGGAAUUUCAUAUGCUUCUGUGUCGACCAUUCUGGCUACCGAGGGAAUUCACAGCGGUCAUAAUCACCGCUGUUUACAUUCCCCCUCAAGCCAACACAGACCAGGCACUCAAGGAACUGUAUGGGAAUAUAAGUGAGCAGGAAACCGCGUACCCAGAUGCAGCGUUUAUUGUUAUGGGGGACUUUAACAAAGCCAACUUCAGAACAAUAGCUCCGAAAUAUUUUCAACACAUCACCAUCAACACGCGUGGUGAUCGUGUACUGGACCACUGCUACUCUCCUUUCCGGGACGCCUACAAAUCUCUCCCACGCCCACCUUUCGGCAAAUCGGAUCACUCUUCCAUUCUGCUGCUGCCUGCUUAUAGGCAGAAACUGAAACGGGAAGCACCCGCCCUCAGGACAAUUCAGUGCUGGUCGGACCAAUCAGACGCUAUACUACAAGACUGUUUUGAUCACGUGGACUGGGACAUGUUCCGGGCAGCGUCUGAUGACGACAUAGAGGCGUACUCAGAAACUGUAACGUGUUUCAUCAGGAAGUGUGUAGAAGAUGUAGUGCCGACAAAAACAAUCCACAUCUACCCCAACCAAAAACCGUGGAUUAAUAGCGAUGUUCGAGCAGCCUUGUCAGCGCGGACAUCCGCUUUUAAAUCCGGAAACGCUGAUGAUCGCAAACAAGCCAGUUACGAUCUCAGGAAAUCCAUCAAAGCCGCAAAAAGACAAUACAAAAACAAAGUUGAAGAACAAUUCAACACCAGCGAUGCAAGAGGCAUGUGGCAGGGAAUCAAUAAAAUCACAGACUUUAAAGGGAACAAACCAGCUACUGUGAACAUUGCCGCCUCUCUACCGGACGAGCUGAAUAACUUUUAUGCUCGUUUCGAGGCUCACAACACCGCCCACACAGAGAGCGCUCCCGCAGCUGCUGCAGAAGAGGUGAGUGCACUCUCCGUCUCUGUCGCGGAUGUAACCCGAUCCUUCCGACGGGUGAAUAUCCGCAAGGCAGCGGGUCCUGAUGGCAUCCCAGGCCGUGUGCUCCGAGCAUGCGCAUUCCAGCUAGCCGGUGUUUUUACAGACAUUUUCAACCUCUCCCUCUCUCUCUCUGUGGUUCCCUCGUGCUUCAAAAAAUCCACCAUUGUGCCCAUACCAAAGAAAAAUAAAAUCACAUGCUUGAAUGACUGGAGGCCUGUUGCUCUCACACCCAUCUUCAGUAAGUGUUUUGAGAGACUCGUCAGAGACAAAGCACAUAGUGACUACAAGUGA